ensembl:lncRNA
CCCCCAACCCAAGGCCAAGGACGACAGCUCCUCAGACAGCAGUGACGAGGAAGAGGCGGCACCAGCUAAACCGGCCCCCGUCAAGACCACCCCGGCCAAACCCAAAACCCCUGCGAAGAAGGCGGCCAGCUCUGACAGUUCAGACUCCAGCUCUGAUGAAGAGGAAGUGAAGAAGAAGCCCGUAGCCAAAAAGACCCCAGUGAAGACUACCCCGGCUAAGGCUGCUCCUGCGAAGGAAGACUCUUCCUCCUCAAGUUCCGAGGAGGAAGAGGAGGUGAAGAAGACCCCAGCAAAGGCGACUCCUGCUAAAGCCGCCGCAGCUAAACCUGCGCCGGCUAAAGCCACACCUGCUAAAGCCACGCCUGCUAAAGCCACGCCUGCUAAAGAGUCUUCCUCUGAAGACUCCAGCUCAGAUGAAGAGGAGGCGGCGGCAGUGAAAAAGCCCGUGGCCAAGGCCACUCCGGCGAAGACCCCGCCGGCCAAGGCGGCCCCCGCCAAGAAGGACUCCUCCAGCGAAGACAGCAGCUCUGAAGACGAGGCCCCAGCUAAGCCCGCUGCUAAGCCUGCAGCCAAGCCUGCAGCCAGCCAAGCCCGCCGCCACCUCCACGCCCAAAGCCCCGGCCAAGGCGGCAGAGAGCAGCUCAGACUCGUCAUCCGAAGAGGACGAGCCUGCAAAGGCUAAACCAGCCUCCAAGCCGGCCACGCCUGCCGCCGCCAAGCCUGCCGCCGCCAAGCCUGCUGCAGAGAGCAGCUCCGACAGCUCGUCGGAGGAGGAGGCGGAGGCGGCGGUCAAGCCUGCAGCAAAGUCACCUGCUGCUAAGUCAC